AGAGGGAGCCAAUGAGCAGCAGAACUUUUGACCCCUGUACAAACUGAAAUUGACCGUUGUCACCAUUUGUGUUGUUUUUACCACAUAACUCCAGAACAAUCAGUCAUAGAGAGUCCAAACUAUGACUUUUGGCAUCUUUGUGAUCAGACAAAUAAUGUGGUGUAGUUUUCAAUAUGAUUGGAGCAUUUUUCAAUGUUGGCCCUUGUUUAAUAAUUCAUCAAUGAC